UCUGUCUUGUUCGGAGCAUCUGUGGUUGCUUGCAGCAGAGGUGGGAGCAGGAGAAGGGCCCAGUAUGUGUCCCUUCUGUCUGUUUUAUACCCUCAGUCCACAUGCUUGUAGAACAGAAGUCCAGGCAUGUCUGUGGGGCAUUGCUGA